rnacentral:rRNA from 1 species
UACGUAGGGUGCGAGCGUUGUCCGGAUUUAUUGGGCGUAAAGAGCGUGUAGGCGCCAGACAGGUCCGCUGUGAAAAACUCGAGGCUCAACCUCGAGAUGUCGGUGGAAACCGUCUGGCUAGAGUCCGGAAGAGGAGAGUGGAAUUCCCGGUGUAGCGGUGAAAUGCGCAGAUAUCGGGAAGAACACCCGUGGCGAAGGCGGCUCUCUGGGACGGUACUGACGCUGAGGCGCGAAAGCGUGGGGAGCGAACAGG